UAAGACAGAGGUGGCAAGCGUUGUUCGGAAUUACUGGGCUUAAAGGGCGCGUAGGCGGUGGAGUAAGUCUGAGGUGGAAGAUCAGGGCCUAACCCUGAAAUUGCCUUGGAAACUGCAUCACUUGAGUCAGCGAGGGGAUGGCGGAAUUCCAGGUGUAGCGGUGAAAUGCGUAGAUAUCUGGAGGAAGGCCGGUGGCGAAGGCGGCCAUCUGGCGCUGAACUGACGCUGAGGCGCGAAAGCGUGGGGAGCAAACAGGAUUAGAUACCCUGGUAGUCCACGCCCUAAACGGUGGGUACUAGGUGUAGGGCUCGCAAGGGUUCUGUGCCGUAGGGAAACCAUUAAGUACCCCGCCUGGGGAGUACGGCCGCAAGGUUGAAACUUAAAUGAAUUGACGG
rnacentral:rRNA from 1 species